rnacentral:rRNA from 1 species
CAAGGUUUCCGUAGGUGACCUGCGGAAGGAUCAUUAAUGAAUGUAACACCGGAGGGAGGAAUAUGGGGGACAAAAGCUGUCGCUGGCCUUUGACUAGGCAUGUGCACGCAAGUCUCCUGAGGACCUCUCGACGUCUUUCAUCUUCUCACCUGUGCACCUAAUGUAGGUCGGCAUUGGUUUUGGUAAAACAGAACCAUGCGAGUGCCUCUCUCUGUGGGGGGAGGUCGAGAACCUAUGUAUUAUAAAAAAAUACAUCUUCGUGUAGAAAGUCUUUGAAUGUUUACGAUCAUAGAGCCGCGACUUCUAGGAGACGCGGGUCUUUGAGAUAAAAGUUAUUACAACUUUCAGCAAUGGAUCUCUUGGCUCUCGCAUCGAUGAAGAACGCAGCGAAAAGCGAUAUGUAAUGUGAAUUGCAGAUCUACAGUGAAUCAUCGAAUCUUUGAACGCACCUUGCGCUCCUUGGUAUUCCGAGGAGCAUGCCUGUUUGAGUGUCAGUUAAUUCAUCAACCCCUCUCGAUUAGCUUCGAGGGGGAGCUUGGAUAGUGGGGGUUGCCGGAGACUUGGGGCUAGUUCCCAAGACUCGGGCUCUCCUGAAAUGCAUUGGCUUGCAGUUGACUUUUCGAGUUUGCGCGACAAGGCUUUCGGCGUGAUAAUGAUCGCCGUGUGCUGAAGUGCAUGAAUGAAAACUUGUCCUGUGCCUCUAAUACACGUCGACCGAUGGAUGAAAAUCUCUCUUUACGGAGUGAUUUUUAUUUAUUACCAUGGUCUUCAUUUGACAUUUUGACCUCAAAUCAGGUAGGACUACCCGCUGAACUUAAGCAUAUCAAUAAGCGGAGGAAAAGAAACUAACAAGGAUUCCCCUAGUAACUGCGAGUGAACCGGGAAGAGCUCAAAUUUUGAAUCUGGUGGUCUUUUGGCCAUCCGAGU